GACGAACGCUGGCGGCGUGCUUAACACAUGCAAGUCGAACGGAAAGGCCCUGCUUUUGUGGGGUGCUCGAGUGGCGAACGGGUGAGUAACACGUGAGUAACCUGCCCUUGACUUUGGGAUAACUUAAGGAAACUGGGGCUAAUCCCGGAUAGGAGUUCCUGCUGCAUGGUGGGGGUUGGAAAGUUUCGGCGGUUGGGGAUGGACUCGCGGCUUAUCAGCUUGUUGGUGGGGUAGUGGCUUACCAAGGCUUUGACGGGUAGCCGGCCUGAUAGGGUGACCGGCCACAUUGGGACGGAGAUACGGCCCAGACUCCUACGGGAGGCAGCAGUGGGGAAUAUUGCACAAGGGGCGGAAGCCUGAUGCAGCAACGCCGCGUGCGGGAUGACGGCCUUCGGUUUGUAAACCGCUUUCGCCUGUGACGAAGCGUGAGUGACGGUAAUGGGUAAAGAAGCACCGGCUAACUACGUG
rnacentral:rRNA from 1 species